rnacentral:rRNA from 1 species
GACGAACGCUGGCGGCGUGCCUAAUACAUGCAAGUCGAACGCACUCUCGUUUAGAUUGAAGGAGUUUGCUCCUGAUUGAUCAACAUUUGAGUGAGUGGCGGACGGGUGAGUAACACGUGGGUAACCUGCCCUAAAGUGGGGGAUAACAUUUGGAAACAGAUGCUAAUACCGCAUAAAACCUAACACCGCAUGGUGUAGGGUUGAAAGAUGGUUUCGGCUAUCACUUUAGGAUGGACCCGCGGUGCAUUAGUUAGUUGGUGAGGUAAGGGCUCACCAAGACCGUAUGGCAUAGCCGACCGGAGAGGGGAAUCGGCCAAACGGGAACUGAGACACGGCCCAGACCCUACGGGAGGCAGCAGUAGGGAAUCUUCCACAAUGGACGAAAGUCUGAUGGAGCAACGCCGCGUGAGUGAAGAAGGUUUUCGGAUCGUAAAGCUCUGUUGUUGGAGAAGAAUGUAUCUGAUAGUAACUGAUCAGGUAGUGACGGUAUCCAACCAGAAAGCCACGGCUAACUACGUG